rnacentral:rRNA from 1 species
UACGUAGGCAGCGAGCGUUGUUCGGAAUUACUGGGCGUAAAGAGUGUGUAGGCGGUGCUCUAAGUUCGGUGUGAAAUCUCCUGGCUCAACUGGGAGGGUGCGCCGGAAACUGGAGUGCUUGAGCGUGGGAGAGGAAAGCGGAAUUCCUGGUGUGAGCGGUGAAAUGCGUAGAUAUCAGGAGGAACAGACCUGUGGUGUAGACGGCUUUCUGGACCAUAGCUGACGCUGAGACACGAAAGCGUGGGUAGCAAACAGG